UACGUAGGGGGCUAGCGUUGUCCGGAAUCAUUGGGCGUAAAGCGCGCGUAGGCGGCCAGAUAAGUCCGGUGUGAAAGCCACAGGCUCAACCUGUGAAUGCCGCUGGAAACUGUCUGGCUAGAGUCCGGGAGGGGCGAGUGGAAUUCCUGGUGUAGCGGUGAAAAUGCGCAGAUAUCAGGAGGAACACCAAUGGCGAAGGCAGCUCGCUGGAACGGAACUGACGCUGAGGCGCGAAAGCGUGGGGAGCGAACAGG
rnacentral:rRNA from 1 species